CCCGCCCAGGCCCGCGGCCGCCCGGGUGUCCUCGCGCCGCCUGUCCGCGCGCAGCCUGGCAGUUUGCCUCUUCCUCGCCCUCCAGCCUGCGUCCAUGGCCACCGCCGCGACCGAGGAGCCCUUCCCCUUCCACGGCCUCCUCCCAAAGAAAGAGACCGGGGCCGCUUCCUUCCUCUGCCGCUACCCGGAGUAUGACGGGCGGGGGGUGCUCAUCGCCGUCCUGGACACCGGGGUCGACCCCGGGGCUCCGGGCAUGCAGGUCACAACGGAUGGAAAACCGAAAAUCAUUGACAUCAUUGACACGACGGGAAGUGGUGACGUGAACACGGCCACGGUAGCAGAGCCCAAGGACGGUGAACUCAUUGGCCUUUCGGGAAGAGUGCUUAAGAUUCCUGCAAGCUGGACAAAUCCCUCAGGCAGAUACCACAUUGGCAUAAAAAAUGGCUAUGAUUUCUACCCAAAGGCUCUCAAGGAAAGGAUACAGAAAGAACGGAAGGAAAAAAUCUGGGACCCUGUACACCGAGUGGCCCUUGCAGAAGCCUGUCGAAAACAGGAAGAGUUUGAUGUUGCCAACAGUUGCCCUUCUCAAGUUGGUGCCAGUUGCUUUGAUAUUCUUUCCCAUUAUAGAUUAUUACAAGAUAUUGAAUGUAGUUCCCUGUGCUAUACAGCAAAUAAACUAAUCAAGGAGGAGCUUCAGAGUCAAGUGGAGCUGCUCAACUCUUUUGAGAAAAAGUAUAGUGAUCCUGGCCCUGUGUACGACUGCUUGGUGUGGCAUGAUGGGGAGACCUGGAGAGCCUGCAUUGAUUCGAAUGAAGAUGGGGAUUUGAGUAAAUCGACUGUUUUGAGAAACUACAAAGAGGCCCAGGAAUAUGGUUCUUUUGGCACAGCUGAGAUGUUGAAUUACUCCGUUAACAUUUACGAUGAGGGAAACCUGCUCUCCAUUGUGACCAGUGGAGGAGCUCAUGGAACCCACGUAGCUAGUAUCGCUGCCGGGCAUUUUCCCGAAGAACCGGAGCGGAAUGGCGUAGCACCUGGUGCUCAGAUUCUUUCCAUCAAGAUUGGUGACACCAGACUAAGCACAAUGGAAACAGGCACAGGCCUCAUCAGAGCUAUGAUAGAAGUUAUAAAUCAUAAGUGUGAUCUUGUCAACUACAGCUAUGGAGAAGCAACUCACUGGCCAAAUUCUGGGAGAAUUUGUGAAGUAAUUAGUGAAGCAGUGUGGAAGCAUAAUAUAAUUUAUGUUUCGAGUGCUGGAAAUAACGGUCCCUGCCUUUCUACAGUCGGGUGUCCAGGUGGAACCACAUCAAGUGUGAUAGGGGUUGGUGCCUACGUUUCUCCUGACAUGAUGGUUGCCGAGUACUCGCUGCGAGAGAAGUUACCUGCAAACCAGUACACGUGGUCUUCCAGAGGCCCCAGUGCCGACGGGGCCCUGGGCGUGAGCAUCAGUGCCCCGGGGGGAGCCAUCGCCUCUGUCCCCAACUGGACCUUGAGGGGAACUCAGCUCAUGAACGGGACGUCCAUGUCUUCUCCCAACGCCUGCGGGGGCAUCGCACUGAUUCUCUCAGGUCUGAAAGCUAACAAUGCUGAUUACACGGUUCAUUCCGUCAGAAGAGCUCUAGAAAACACGGCAGUGAAGGCCGACAACAUAGAAGUGUUUGCCCAAGGACACGGUAUUAUCCAGGUUGAUAAAGCCUAUGACUACCUCGUUCAGAACACAUCAUUUGCUAAUAAGUUAGGUUUCACUGUUACUGUUGGAAAUAACCGUGGCAUCUACCUCCGAGAUCCUAUUCAGGUGGCUGCACCUUCAGAUCAUGGCGUUGGCAUUGAGCCUGUGUUUCCAGAAAAUACUGAAAACUCUGAAAAAAUAUCCCUUCAGCUUCAUUUAGCUUUAACUUCGAAUUCCUCUUGGGUUCAGUGUCCCAGCCACUUGGAGCUCAUGAAUCAAUGUAGACACAUAAACAUACGUGUGGAUCCCAGGGGCUUGAGAGAAGGAUUGCAUUACACAGAGGUCUGUGGCUAUGACACAGCGUCUCCGAAUGCAGGCCCUCUGUUCCGAGUCCCCAUCACCGCAGUGAUAGCAGCAAAAGUCAAUGAAUCAUCCCAUUAUGACCUAGCCUUUACCGACGUACACUUUAAACCUGGGCAGAUUCGAAGGCAUUUUAUUGAGGUUCCUGAGGGUGCGACGUGGGCUGAAGUCACGGUGUGUUCCUGUUCUUCUGAGGUGUCCGCCAAGUUUGUCCUUCACGCAGUGCAGCUUGUGAAGCAGAGAGCGUACCGAAGUCACGAGUUCUACAAGUUUUGUUCCCUUCCAGAGAAAGGAACCCUGACAGAAGCUUUUCCUGUCUUAGGUGGGAAAGCAAUUGAGUUUUGCAUUGCUCGUUGGUGGGCAAGUCUUAGUGACGUCAACAUUGAUUAUACCAUUUCCUUCCACGGGAUAGUAUGUACUGCUCCUCAGUUAAACAUCCAUGCAUCAGAGGGAAUCAACCGUUUUGAUGUUCAGUCCUCCCUGAAAUAUGAAGAUCUGGCUCCCUGCAUAACUUUGAAGAGCUGGGUCCAAACGCUACGUCCACUGAGUGCAAAAACAAAGCCUUUAGGAUCAAGAGAUGUUUUGCCAAAUAAUCGUCAGCUCUAUGAGAUGAUCCUGACAUACAACUUUCAUCAACCCAAGAGUGGGGAGGUCACUCCAAGCUGCCCCCUGCUUUGUGAAUUAUUAUACGAGUCAGAAUUUGACAGCCAGCUGUGGAUUAUAUUUGACCAGAACAAAAGACAGAUGGGUUCCGGCGAUGCCUAUCCUCAUCAGUAUUCUUUGAAACUGGAGAAAGGAGAUUAUACAAUUCGACUACAGAUUCGUCAUGAGCAAAUCAGUGAUUUGGAGCGUCUUAAAGAUCUUCCGUUUAUUGUUUCUCAUAGGUUGUCUAAUACCUUGAGCUUAGAUAUUCAUGAAAAUCAUAGCCUUGCACUUCUAGGGAAGAAGAAAUCAAGUAACUUGACAUUGCCACCCAAAUAUAACCAGCCGUUCUUUGUUACUUCCUUACCUGAUGACAAGAUACCUAAAGGGGCAGGACCGGGUUGCUACCUUUCAGGAUCCUUAACGUUGUCAAAGACCGAACUUGGAAAGAAAGCCGGGCAGUCUGCAGCAAAACGACAAGGAAAAUUUAAAAAGGAUGUAAUCCCUGUUCACUACUACCUGAUAUCGCCACCAACAAAGACCAAGAAUGGCAGCAAGGACAAAGACAAAGAUUCUGAAAAAGAGAAGGAUUUAAAAGAAGAGUUUACUGAAGCGCUACGAGAUCUUAAAAUUCAGUGGAUGACGAAGCUGGAUUCUAGUGACAUUUACAAUGAAUUGAAAGAAACGUAUCCGAAUUAUCUUCCUCUCUAUGUUGCACGACUUCAUCAGUUGGAUGCUGAAAAGGAACGAAUGAAAAGACUUAAUGAAAUCGUUGAAGCUGCAAAUGCUGUUAUUUCUCACAUAGAUCAAACGGCCCUAGCAGUUUAUAUUGCGAUGAAGACUGACCCCAGGCCUGAUGCAGCUAUUAUAAAAAAUGACAUGGACAAGCAGAAGUCGACGCUCGUGGACGCCCUCUGUCGGAAAGGCUGCGCCCUGGCCGACCACCUCCUCCAGGCCCAGGAGCAGGAGGGGGCUGUGUCGAGCGAUGCGGAAGGGAGAGAGGAGGAGGGCGAGGGCACCCUGGACUCCCUGACGGAAACCUUCUGGGAGACCACCAAGUGGACCGACCUUUUUGACAGCAAGGUACGCUUUCUGCCUCCCGCUUUGCCGCAGUUCUGGGGCGGGGCGCGGCCCAGGUGUCUCUUGCUUCUGGCCCACCAGCCACAGAGGCCGGUGGUUGGGACGAGGCUGAGCUGGGCUCUGAGGCUCCCUUGUCCUCCUGGCUUUAAAAGCCCCGGGCUCUUGUUCUGUCCAUCUGCACAGCAGCUGGGGACCAGGCUGGUUUGGAAACCAGCGGGAGCAUGUGCCUGUCGCGGGCUUUGGUUAAGCCAUUGAGGUAGAAGCUGAGGUCAAGGACCUCAGAGGUUGUCUCUGGGCCUCCCCACAUCUGCCUGCAUGCUGACUUGUCAGGGAUACAGGUGGGGGUAUCCUGCUUAGUUUAGAUAUACCUUGCUCCAGACGUCUAGAUAAUUUUCGUCUGACCAGCUUUUAUUUAUUGACUGAUUUGUCUUUUUAGGGCCACACACAUAGCAUAUAGAGGUUCCCAGGCUAGGGAGCUGCAGCCCCGGCCUUCACCACAGCCACAGCAAUGCCAGAUCUGAGCUGCAGCCACAACCUAUACCACAGCCCACGGCAACACCAGAUCCUAAACCCACUGAGCAAGGCCAGGGAUUGAACCCGAAUCCUCAUGGAUUCUAGUUGGGUUCUUAACUCACUGAGCCAUAAUGGGAAGUCCUGAUCAGUUUUUAAUACUCAGUUUAGAAAAAGUAACGUUGAUAAAGUUUUGGGGUUUUGAUUAUAAAAGCAUUUUAAAUCCCUUGACUUUCGACUGUAAUUCUUACCACAGAGGUGAUACAACUGCAGGGUUUGUCUGCCUUCCUUUCUUCUGGACAUAAAGGAAAAUAAAGUAAAUGACAUCAGUGCCAUUCUUCCUACUCAGCACAAACGUUUUGUUUUGUUUUCAAGAGGAACUGUGGUAAUUGGGAGUAAAGACCUCUGGAAGUAGAAAAUUCUUACUGUCCACUUCCGUUUUUCCCACCUCUGUCCAGUGGGGCUUUUGUAGAAGGAAACCGAGGGAGUCAGCCCCAGAGGGAAAGAGUUUGAGUCUGAAAUCAGACCCCUGGAGCUUGAAUCCCGCCUCUGCCACUUUGACCCAUGUCACCCUAGUCUGGUCAUUGACUUCUGACAGGGGGUAGUGGUGCUGCCUACCACAGGCUUUGACGAAUGAAUGUUAGGUACACGGACGGAUGUCAGCACUACUUGCCGUUACAGCUAACAAACAGGGAUUGCACGUCUGCUGCGUGCCAGACGCUGCACCUGCUGCUGGAGAAGGAUGGUAAGAACCUGGUCCCACAGCGAGUCUGUAAGCUCUUGAACGUCACGGUGACGUUGUUACAAAUCUGUUCUCGCUGCUGCGCUCCCGUGUUCGGUCCGCCACCACUCCCUGUCCAUUUACUCUGUUUGUAGCAGCGAUUGCUCCUGUGUUCGGGCUGCCGCCACUCCCUGUCCAUUUACUCUGUUUGUAGCAGCGAUCGAAUCCUUUGUUUGACUCUAGAAUACAAAUAAAUGUGACACAAUUCCUUCCUUUGAGGACAAGAAGUGGAGACUAGCGAUAUAAGUAAAUGGUUACAAGUGUUUUUGACAGAUGCAAUGAUUAAAGGUAGAAAACUUGUACAGAAGGAAGUAGCCGAAGGUAAGUGAGCACAUGUUUACGCCAUCCGACACGCUUUUUACUCUCAUCCCCGUCUGGUUUUGGUAAUUUAUGGUGACUCUAGACCUGUACUUCUAAUCUGCAUUUUUGUAAUCAUAGACAUUGGCUCUGCUUUGUUUUUGCACAAAGAGGUAUUUUGGUAUGGAUUCCAACAGCUAGUGAUUUAUCAUAGUAAUUGCCUUCCCCCAAAUAAAUGAUCCGUUCUGUGGAACAUCAGGCUCUUUUAAAGAUGUUAGUUGUUUUCUUAAAAAGUUCUUAAAAUUCAUUUGCUGUAACAUGUUCGUUUGAAACACUUCUUUUAAAACCUUAGUUCUUUCAUUAUUAAAGCAGGCCUUAAAUUGUAAAUAUUUUGUGCAUAAGCUGUAUCUUGUUUUCCAUUGUAGGUUUUGACAUUUGCAUACAAGCAUGCAUUGGUAAAUAAAAUGUAUGGGAGAGGCCUUAAAUUUGCAACUAAACUUGUGGAGGAAAAACCAACAAAAGAAAACUGGAAAAAUUGUAUUCAACUGAUGAAGCUACUUGGAUGGACCCAUUGUGCGUCUUUUACUGAAAACUGGCUCCCCAUCAUGUAUCCUCCUGAUUAUUGUGUAUUCUAAAAUAGGAAACAAGACUUUAAAUUUUAAAAAAGAAAGUUUUAUAGUGAAUGGACAUAAAAAGAAAUUUGUGGCAUUUUUAGUCUAAUGCAUGUUUUCAUCCGCUAUCAAAUACUGAUUAUUAAAAUGAUGCGUAUUUAUCAGAGAAUUUGCUGGCGUGUGGCUUAAUACAUGUAAGUCUAGACCUCUGACAUCAUGGUGUUUUCUUAAUGCCUCCCAUUGCUGGCAGCGGGCUGUGCCCUGCCUGCCAGCACCAAGGACUUUCAGUUGGGUUGCAGCUAUUACAUGCAUGAGAGGUUUUGAACAGCAACUUUUAACUGCAAACCUGUAAAAUUCUAUUUUUUAUUUUAUAAAUGAACAGGGUUUUAACAUGCUCGACUUUAAUUUUUUUCAAUUGUAUGAAGGCCUUAAAUAAGCUACAUUAAGCGUAGCUAAAAUUAUUUAUUGGACUAAAAGUAACAGAACUUCAUUUCCAGGUUUUCGGGGGGUUUUUGGUUUUGGUGUGGUUUUUUUUUUUUUUGUUUGUUUUUUGUUUUUGUUUUUUUGCAAACGUUUACAUUCAAUUAAGGGGACAAAAUAAACCCGGCACAAAUAAAUACGUGGCAAUUGCUGGAGCGUAUCUGCUUCAAUCAAUCUUCAUCUUGGAGUUCUUUCAGGCCAAUCAUUUUUAACAUCUUCUUGACUUGCAGAGCAUCAGAAUGAACUAAUAAUACAUGUGUAAGUGCCAGACAGCUUAAAUCUGUAUCAGGUAUUGUAAAGAUACACAUAUGGUAUGUUUAUUAAAGUUGGAAAUAAUGUAAACACGUGAAUAAAUGUGCAAAACCAAGAUCCCAGUACACCAUAUGCACUCUGAUACCUUAAUUUUUUUUAUAAAUAAUAAAAGUGAAUAUUGAAGCUUCUUAAAA